GAUGAACGCUGACAGAAUGCUUAACACAUGCAAGUCAACUUGAAGCAGUUUCGGCUGUGGAUGGUGGCGGACGGGUGAGUAACGCGUAAAUAACUUGCCCUUUAGACUGGGACAACUGUUGGAAACGACAGCUAAUACCGGAUAUUAUAAAACCUUGGCAUCAAGGGAUUAUGAAAGCUAUAUGCGCUAGAGGAGAGAUUUGCGUCCUAUUAGCUAGUUGGUGAGGUAAUGGCUCACCAAGGCGACGAUAGGUAGCCGGCCUGAGAGGGUGAACGGCCACAAGGGGACUGAGACACGGCCCUUACUCCUACGGGAGGCAGCAGUGGGGAAUAUUGGACAAUGGACCAAGAGUCUGAUCCAGCAAUUCUGUGUGUUUGAUGAAGGCCUUCGGGUUGUAAAGAACUUUAAGUAGGGAAGAAGAAAGUGACGGUACCUACAGAAUAAGCGACGGCUAAAUACGUGCCAGCCGCCGCCGUAA
rnacentral:rRNA from 1 species